GAAGUGAUCUGUUUUGUGUUGUUUCAGAGUCUCAUACUGUAAGAGUAUCUCCAGAUGUCAUAAGAGAGUCCAGCUCAGUGAAGAUCAGCUGUGAGACGCCAGCAGAAUGUUACAGUGAAUUAGAGUUAUUUCAACACAAACAAAGAACAGAAGAAUAUAAAAACUCAUGGCUUUAUUUCUGUCUGGACUCAUAGGAAUCAUCUGUCUGUGCCACUUUACCAGUUCUGCUGAUGUUCUCACAGAGCUGAACUACACCUCCUGCCAGAUGGAAACAACAUCUCUUUUAACUUCCUCAAAACAUGGAUGACCUGUUUAUGUUCUUCACUUGUUGCCUCUGAAGAAAAAAAUGAUAUGUACAGAAAGAUAAUACAGCAUAAAGCAACUUAAUUCAUAUUCUGAUCAGCAGGCCAGACAGAAUCUGAAUUUUGAUUUUGGG
rnacentral:lncRNA from 1 species